UUUCAUGUGCAUUGGCCUUGUAUUUCUCAAUUUCACUAUCUCACACCAAAAAUUCAAAAGAAUCCACUUGAAAAAUGACUUUUUGCCUUGACCAUUUUUGAUGAAUUUUGACCAUGCAUCAUGAAAGUACAUGUGAAAUGGGGUUUGCUCAAAGAAAGAUCACCCAAAUUGGACAUUCCAUGUGAAAGUUAUGCCACUUUGAUUUUAGGCAUUUUUGGAAAAUGAUU
rnacentral:lncRNA from 1 species